rnacentral:tRNA from 2 species
GUAGUUCAGUUGGUUAGAAUACCGGCCUGUCACGCCGGGGGUCGCGGGUUCGAGCCCCGUC